rnacentral:rRNA from 1 species
CAGUCGCCACGGGAAUACGUAGGUGGCAAGCGUUGUCCGGAAUUAUUGGGCGUAAAGCGCGCGCAGGCGGAUAGGUCAGUCUGUCUUAAAAGUUCGGGGCUUAACCCCGUGAUGGGAUGGAAACUGCCAAUCUAGAGUAUCGGAGAGGAAAGUGGAAUUCCUAGUGUAGCGGUGAAAUGCGUAGAUAUUAGGAAGAACACCAGUGGCGAAGGCGACUUUCUGGACGAAAACUGACGCUGAGGCGCGAAAGCCAGGGGAGCGAACGGGAUUAGAUACCCCGGUAGUCCCUGUCUCUUAUACA